rnacentral:rRNA from 1 species
AAUAGAACCCAGGUAGUCCACGCCGUAAACGAUGAGUGCUAAGUGUUAGGGGGUUUCCGCCCCUUAGUGCUGCAGCUAACGCAUUAAGCACUCCGCCUGGGGAGUACGGCCGCAAGGCUGAAACUCAAAGGAAUUGACGGGGGCCCGCACAAGCGGUGGAGCAUGUGGUUUAAUUCGAAGCAACGCGAAGAACCUUACCAGGUCUUGACAUCUCCUGACCGCCCUGGAGACAGGGUCUUCCCUUCGGGGACAGGAUGACAGGUGGUGCAUGGUUGUCGUCAGCUCGUGUCGUGAGAUGUUGGGUUAAGUCCCGCAACGAGCGCAACCCUUGUCCUUAGUUGCCAGCAUUCAGUUGGGCACUCUAAGGAGACUGCCGGCUAAAAGUCGGAGGAAGGUGGGGAUGACGCCAAAUCAUCAUGCCCCUUAUGACCUGGGCUACACACGUGCUACAAUGGGCGAUACAGAGGGUCGCGAACCCGCGAGGGGGGAGCCAAUCCCAAAAAACCGGCUCUCAGUUCGGAUUGCAGGCUGCAACUCG